CCUACGGGAGGCAGCAGUGAGGAAUAUUGGUCAAUGGGCGCGAGCCUGAACCAGCCAAGUCGCGUGAGGGAUGACGGUCCUACGGAUUGUAAACCUCUUUUGCCGGGGAGCAAGCGUGCGUUCGUGAACGCACGUCGAGAGUACCCGGAGAAAAAGCAUCGGCUAACUCCGUGCCAGCAGCCGCGGUAAUACGGAGGGUGCAAGCGUUGUCCGGAAUCAUUGGGCGUAAAGAGUUCGUAGGCGGCAUGUAAAGUCAGGUGUUAAAGGCGCAGGCUCAACCUGUGUAUGGCACUUGAUACUUGCAAGCUGGAAUGCGGUAGAGGUAAAGGGAAUUCCUGGUGUAGCGGUGAAAUGCUUAGAUAUCAGGAGGAACAUCGGUGGCGUAAGCGCUUUACUGGGCCGUAAUUGACGCUGAGGAACGAAAGCCAGGGUAGCAAAUGGGAUUAGAUACCCUAGUAGUC
rnacentral:rRNA from 1 species